UUUUACAAUGGAGAGUUUGAUCCUGGCUCAGGAUGAACGCUAGCUACAGGCUUAACACAUGCAAGUCGAGGGGAAACGAUAUUGGAAGCUUGCUUCCGAUAGGCGUCGACCGGCGCACGGGUGAGUAACGCGUAUCCAACCUGCCCACCACUUGGGGAUAACCUUGCGAAAGUAAGACUAAUACCCAAUGAUAUCUCUAGAAGACAUCUGAAAGAGAUUAAGGAUUUAUCGGUGAUGGAUGGGGAUGCGUCUGAUUAGCUUGUUGGCGGGGUAACGGCCCACCAAGGCGACGAUCAGUAGGGGUUCUGAGAGGAAGGUCCCCCACAUUGGAACUGAGACACGGUCCAAACUCCUACGGGAGGCAGCAGUGAGGAAUAUUGGUCAAUGGACGAGAGUCUGAACCAGCCAAGUAGCGUGCAGGAAGACGGCCCUAUGGGUUGUAAACUGCUUUUAUAAGGGAAUAAAGUGAGAGUCGUGACUCUUUUUGCAUGUACCUUAUGAAUAAGGACCGGCUAAUUCCGUGCCAGCAGCCGCGGUAAUACGGAAGGUCCGGGCGUUAUCCGGAUUUAUUGGGUUUAAAGGGAGCGUAGGCCGGAGAUUAAGCGUGUUGUGAAAUGUAGAUGCUUAACAUCUGCACUGCAGCGCGAACUGGUUUCCUUGAGUACGCACAAAGUGGGCGGAAUUCGUGGUGUAGCGGUGAAAUGCUUAGAUAUCACGAAGAACUCCGAUUGCGAAGGCAGCUCACUGGAGCGCAACUGACGCUGAAGCUCGAAAGUGCGGGUAUCGAACAGGAUUAGAUACCCUGGUAGUCCGCACGGUAAACGAUGGAUGCCCGCUGUUGGUCUGAAUAGGUCAGCGGCCAAGCGAAAGCAUUAAGCAUCCCACCUGGGGAGUACGCCGGCAACGGUGAAACUCAAAGGAAUUGACGGGGGCCCGCACAAGCGGAGGAACAUGUGGUUUAAUUCGAUGAUACGCGAGGAACCUUACCCGGGCUUGAAUUGCAGAGGAAGGAUUUGGAGACAAUGACGCCCUUCGGGGCCUCUGUGAAGGUGCUGCAUGGUUGUCGUCAGCUCGUGCCGUGAGGUGUCGGCUUAAGUGCCAUAACGAGCGCAACCCCUCUCCUUAGUUGCCAUCAGGU
rnacentral:rRNA from 1 species